rnacentral:rRNA from 1 species
AUUGAACGCUGGCGGCAGGCUUAACACAUGCAAGUCGAGCGGAGAUGAGGUGCUUGCACCUUAUCUUAGCGGCGGACGGGUGAGUAAUGCUUAGGAAUCUGCCUAUUAGUGGGGGACAACAUUCCGAAAGGAAUGCUAAUACCGCAUACGCCCUACGGGGGAAAGCAGGGGAUCUUCGGACUUUGCGCUAAUAGAUGAGCCUAAGUCGGAUUAGCUAGUUGGUGGGGUAAAGGCCUACCAAGGCGACGAUCUGUAGCGGGUCUGAGAGGAUGAUCCGCCACACUGGGACUGAGACACGGCCCAGACUCCUACGGGAGGCAGCAGUGGGGAAUAUUGGACAAUGGGCGGAAGCCUGAUCCAGCCAUGCCGCGUGUGUGAAGAAGGCCUUUUGGUUGUAAAGCACUUUAAGCGAGGAGGAGGCUACCUGGAUUAAUACUCUAGGAUAGUGGACGUUACUCGCAGAAUAAGCACCGGCUGACUCUGUGCCAGCCGCCGCCGUAAUAC